rnacentral:ncRNA from 13 species
CCUGCGCCGCCGUACUGGCGCAACUGGCCAGCCUGGACAACGUCUCGCUGAUCACCCUGCCCACCAACCAGGGCAAGGGCGGUGCGGUGCAAGUCGGUUUUCGCGAAGCCGCACGCCUGGGCUUUACCC